UAUCAAAAGGAAAAUGAAAAAAGAAUAGAUAAACGAUUCAGAGAAGAUUAGCAUGGCCCCUGCACAAGGAUGACAUGCAAAUUCGUGAAGCGUUCCAUAAGGAG